AAGAAGACAGCCAGAGCUAGAUCCAGUGAACCAAGGUUUGAACUAUGAAAAGGAAGAGGGGUGGCAGUGCCGCUACUGAUUUGAGAUCGUUCUUGUAAAGAGCUGCUGCAAAGAAGAAACCUCCUGAGGCAGAGGUUGUUAGUCCACCUACUAAUGAAAAUCAAAUGCAGAUAGUGGUAUUUCAAGGACAGAGUACCAGUGGGAGUGGGAGAAACACCAUACCUCUUGAAGCAGAGAGAGAUGAGCAGCAACAGCAGCAACCACCAGCUAAUCCCUCAGUAAUUGAAGAUGAUGAAUCCAUGCCUAUAGAUGAAUCUGACUCCGGCGAUGAAGAUGAUAGUAAUUAUAAUAUAGAGCAUGAUCCGGGAUUGAGGCCUCCUAUCUCAAGCUAUCCUGUCAAUGACAAAGAUUCGGUUAGAAGGUCAUACAUUGCAUUGGGACCAUGUCAACCAAGAAUGAAGAGAGAAUUAUUUCCCCAACAUGAAUGUGGAGGUAUGCGCCGAUUCCAACCUAAAUGGUUUGAUGAAUUCAAGUGGCUAGAGUAUAGUAUGCAUACAGGUGCUGCAUAUUGCUUUGUUUGCUACUUGUUCAAGGAUAGUAGCAAAUAUCCUGGUGGAGAUGCUUUUGCUAAUGAAGGUUUUCGAAAUUGGAAUAUGAAGUGCAGAAUUCGUAGGCAUGUUGGUGCUAUCAAUAGUGCUCACAAUGAAGCUGAGGAGAAAUAUAAUUUGUUCAUGAAACCUAGGACUUCAAUUCGUGAGUCUAUAGGCUCAAA